UUCGUGCAUGGCAAGAUUCGAUCGGAUUAUAUAUAAUUCAGAUGAGCAAUGUUAACAGUAUAGCAUUCCGUAAUUUCCGACGACCAAGGUUCAAUACUCUGUUAUUGGAUUAACACCAUACUCUGUUUUUUUCCUACGGUUACCGUCAACAAAAUUACAAAAAAUCAAGAUACACUGAUCGGAACUGUAGCUUUGUAAAUACUCUCCAGCGACCUCGUCCGUCUCUUCUUCCUUCGCCGGCUAAGCAUCUCCUCUUCCUCUUCCUCCUCCUCCUCUUCUUCCGCCGCCACCUUGUUGUUGAUGCUGCUGCCAGCAGUGCUACUCUCAUCGCGAUCGCCGCCCGUACUAUUGCUCAGCUCCACCAGCUGCUCGGCCGCCUGGAUCUCCGAUUCUGAGAACAACAGCACAGCCGGAGGAGGAGGAGAUCGGCUCCGUAUUGUUUUGGUCUGUGGAUCUUCCAAGAUUAAUCCGUUGAUCGCCAUGGCUGCGCGCGGAUAGCUUUGAUUUUUUUUUUCCUCGGGGUUUGCUAAUUUUUUAUUAAUUUAUUCUUUGGUGAG
rnacentral:lncRNA from 1 species